GCUGAUGGGGAAGUGAGACAAAAACCCCUUUCCCAUCUGUGCACACUCUCCUCCAGCCCAAACAGGACCAGAGACAAAGCCACGGGCACAUCUGGCCCAGGUCCCCAGACCUCAGAUCUCAGGCAGCUGUGCAGUGGAUUCAGCCUCACAGGACGGGCCUGACCUGGUAUUUCCAGGGCCAUGGAAACAGGACGGACCUGUGACCAAACGACAGCACAUCUCUCCGGGGACGACUCACAUUUCAUGCCCAACAGCUGUGAUGACUUCUUGCCACCACAUUGGACAGAGCAGGUCUCUGUGCUGCACCUGUGCUGACCCAGCCCCCGUCUGCCUCUGCCUCCCUGGGAGCCUCAGCCAAGCUCACCUGCACCCUCAGCAGUGAGCACAGCGGCUACUACAUUGAAUGGUACCAGC